CUGUUGGAGUUGCACACAGCACAAUGUGUCUUCGAUCAACACAAAUUGACACAAAACGAGCAACUUCUAAAUGUGACUGAAGUAAUCAACUGUUCAACGACCAUUUAUGAUGGUUUGGAACAAAAUCACAAAAACUAGGUCAAUGUGCCACUCUGUGUCGACAUGUAUCUGAACUGGCUGCUGAACGUCUUUGAUACGGGUAGGAGUGUUUCUUUGAAAAUUGGCUUGAUGUGUCUGUCCAAGGGUCAUCUGGAGGAAAAAAUACAAGUAUAUCUUCAAACAAGUAGCUGAACCCACAGAUUUAUGUGACCAACGAAGCCUGAGCCUUUUGCUUCACGAUGCAGUCCAGAUCCCUCGGCAGCUGGGUGAGGUAGCUUCAUUUGGAGGCAGCACCAUUGAACCAAG